rnacentral:tRNA from 1 species
GCAGGAGUGAUGGAAUGGCAUACGUCCCCGCCUGAGUAGCGGGGUUUUGAGGGUUCGAAUCCCUUCUCCUGUA